rnacentral:misc_RNA from 1 species
AAGUCUCAACAGCCACCAAACCAAUAUAUUAACUGUUUGUUAUUUCCCUACGCCAACUCAACUCACCUACAUCUCCCUCCUUCCCUCCCUUUGACCAUCUUCAAUGUCUUCGUCUAUCGAACAAAUCCAUAAUGUCAUCACCUGCAAAGCUGCGGUGGCAUGGGGACCUGGGGAGCCGUUGGUGCUGGAGGAAGUACAACUGAGUCCACCACAAUCGCACGAGAUUAGGAUCAAAGUCGUCUCCACCUCUCUCUGUCGCAGCGACCUCACCGCUUGGGAAUCUCAGGCUAUUUUCCCUCGGAUAUUUGGCCAUGAAGCGUCAGGGAUUGUCGAGAGCAUUGGAAAGGGAGUGACCGAAUUUGAAGAGGGGGAUCAUGUGCUCACAGUAUUCAUGGGAGAAUGCAGGACUUGCAGGCAGUGUACCUCAGUUAAAAGCAACAUGUGCCAAGUAUUGGGUCUGGAAAGGAGAGGUGUAAUGCAUAGUGAUCAGAGAACCCGGUUCUCAAUUAAAGGGAAGCCCAUAUAUCAUUAUUGUGCAGUUUCAAGUUUCAGUGAAUAUACAGUGGUGCACACUGGGUGUGCUGUCAAAGUCAGCUCAGCUGCACCUUUGGAGAAAAUAUGCCUUCUGAGCUGUGGGGUAGCUGCAG